UACGGAGGGUGCGAGCGUUGUCCGGAAUUACUGGGCGUAAAGCGCACGUAGGUGGCGACGUAAGUCGGGUGUGAAAGCCCCGGGCUCAACCUGGGAAUUGCAUUCGAGACUGCAUUGCUGGAGUACGGAAGAGGAAGGCGGAAUUCCCGGUGUAGCGGUGAAAUGCGUAGAUAUCGGGAGGAACAUCAGUGGCGAAGGCGGCCUUCUGGUCCAGUACUGACACUCAAGUGCGAAAGCGUGGGGAGCAAACAGG
rnacentral:rRNA from 1 species